rnacentral:rRNA from 1 species
UACAGAGGUCUCAAGCGUUGUUCGGAUUCAUUGGGCUUAAAGCGUGUGUAGGCGGGCCGUUAAGUACCUUGUGAAAUCCCCCGGCUCAACCGGGGAAUGGCUGGGUAUACUGGGCGGUCUUGACGCGAUCUAGGGGCAGGAUGGAACAAGUGGUGGAGCGGUGGAAAUGCGUAGAUAUCGUCUGGAACGCCAAAGGUGGAAAACAGGUCGCUGGGGCUGAGCUGACGCUGAGACACGAAAGCCAGGGGAGCGAAACGGG